rnacentral:tRNA from 11 species
GUGUGGUCUAGUGGUAGUGCAUUGGACUCUUGCGCCGAUGGCCGUGGGU